UAAUUAUGUUUACAAUAGUAUGCCGGGAACGGGUAAACAACCCCUGGUUUUGAAUUCUUGCAUUAGAUUAAAGUGUUCAUUUCCAAUAACAAGUUAGACAAUAGACUGUUUUGCCGGGGACGCGACAUUCUCGCGAAGAGAUAGACUCCUCCCAUAUUUGUUGGUGACUAGUUCAGAUAACACUCAUCUAUUAUGCUUUGUCAUUGGUUAUAAUUAAUUAAAGGUAUAACUCCUCUCUUAAUUGGUCGGAUGACCUAAGGGUAAUUUGAUAUAUCCCGUCUUGCAAUUGGUUGGCUUCGUUAGAGUCCUUCUGGUUGGCUGGCAAUAUCAUGUAAUAUCUAAGCCUCAUUGGGUGCCGCGGUAUUUAAAUGCCAGGUGCGGGAUUUUGAAGUCAGUUUUAGUUGAUAUUAUUUGAGAGUAUAUUAUUUGAGAGUAUAUUAUUUGAAAGUUUAUUUCAUUCCGUUAUCAUGUUUAAGAUGUGCUGCUAGUUUACGGUCAAUAUGGCCGCCCAGCCUCUGAGAGAAGCAGCUUAUUUAAAAUGUUUAUAUAAUAAUUACUCUUCGUUUUUGUAACGAUUGGAGCUUCGGCUGACUUAUAUUAUUAAUAAAGUGGACUUCAACUGUAA